rfam:Myotis davidii contig141669, whole genome shotgun sequence.
GGCGGUUCUCGUGUGACGCACCUUGGAAUCAGGCUCCCUCUUCUCUGGUUCCGGGUGUAGCACCCUAGAACCACA